GCAUUGUUAUGGGUUGACUCUGUAAUUUGGUUAUCCUACACAUGUGCCACAAAGGGAGUCUUGCUUCAUGGUCUUACCCUUUUCCCAGCAGUGGACUACUCUAGCUUGUUACUUGGUGCUAGGCUUUUGAAGGAGGCAGAAAGUUUCUAUGUGGUUUAGAUCCAGUCUCAGACUUAGAGCACUAUGUCCUGGUUCUAGUUUUGUUUUUUGUUUUUUCCGUUAGCUUUUCUGCAACUCUAUCCAUUGCAGCAAAUCAUGCCUAUAAUCUGCAGUUGGCUCACCUUUGGCAAGAAAAUUUUCCUGCUUUUCACCUAGAGAUACAGAUGCUUGUUUGGCACUGGGACAGGAUCCUAGAAACAUAAUGAUUUUCCACAAGAUGAUUAGAUUGUGAUAUGUAAUAAAUGUGAGCCACUGGGAUUUGGGUGUUGCUUAUUACAGAAAAUAACCUGUGUUAUCUAACUUUACUUUUAUUUUUAAUUUUUAUUUUUUUAAAUCUGCAGUCAAUUUAUUAUCUUUGGUCUUGUUGCUCUAACACUAAGACUUCCAGGAGUGUAUUUUAUUAGGGUUGUUUUUCUGUUAGGUGAUUUUUGCAUCAAGAUCAAUCUUUCUGUUAUUUUGAUCUCUAUGUUUUGUUUGUAUCCAGAUGUAUUUCUGUGCAAAACUUGUCUCCAAGGAAGACUCUAAUCUUCUAAACUCUGGAUUUAUAUGAUUUCUCAAUAUGCUAUAUCAACCUCAUUUUGCUAAUAAUGAUACAGGACGGAGGCAGCAAAGUUCUGGAUAGAGAAGGAUGGGGUCCCUGGUGAGGGCUCCACCCUCAGGCCUGUGCCCAUGGACCUAAGUAUGGACAAGCACUCCUGUUUUUGCACCCAAAUGUUGCAUUUUCCAAGACCACUCUGACCCAACACAUGCUCCAUCCUGUGCUUAUAAAAAUCCCGAGACCCUAACAGGCACACACAGAAGUGGCUGGACGUUGAGAGGAGCAGAAGAGCACACUGACAGACACCAGCAAAUGCUCGCAGGCCAUCGAGGGCAGGAUGAGGAUGACUUGGAAUUUGGCAGGGGAUGAUUAGAGGAGAGUCUGGCCACUGGGCAGCCAACUCCACAUUCCCACUUAAUCCUCCUUCUGUUCUCCCCAUCCAUCUUGCUGAGAGCUACCUCCGCUCAAUAAAAUCUUGCACCCACCCUCAAAGCCUAUGUGUGAUCCAAUUUUUCCGGUACAUGAAGGCAAGAACCCAGGAUACAGAAAGCCCUCUGUCCUUGUUGAGCUAAUUAACAAAAGCCACUUGCAGAUGGCAAAACUGAAAGUGCACACUGUAACACAUGCCCACUGGGGCCUCAGGAGCUGUAAACACUCAAGCCUAGAUACUACCAUGGGAUUGGAGCCCAAAAUGCUUUCCACAGCCUCCCUGACUGCAUGCUCCCCACCCGCUUGGGGUUUGAGCAGAGGGGCACCAAAGAAGCCAGUCACACCCCUGUUGCAGUCCCUAUGAAGGGGAUAAAGGAACUUUUCUUGUUUCAACUGGGGGCUUGUCCGGAAUCCCCAAAGGCCAUCAAACUCCAAACAGACAGGCAACUGGUGCCUCAGACGAUGGCUCUCCUUUGCCAGGAACCCUUAGAUAGACCUCUGGGAGGAAUCUGACUGCCAUUUUCCCCAAAACAAGACCCCCCUGUCAGCAGGAAAUAGCUAAGACCGGUUGUCCUCCAUAUUCUAACAGCAGUUAGAUAUGUCUCUUCAGAGGAGAGAAAUGAUACAGGAGAGGGGCAGGGAAGUGCUGGAUAGAGAAGGGCAGGGUCCCUGGCAAGGGCUCCACCCUUGGACAUGUGCCCAUGGACCUAAGUGAGGACAGACACUCCUGUUUUUGUGCCCAAAUGUUGCAUUUUUCAAGACCGCUCUGGCCCACCAGGGAUCCUCCCACCCCUAAUUCUGUGCCUAUAAAAAUCCUGAGACCCUAGUGGGCACACACACAAGUGGUUAGAUGUCAAAAGGAGCAGAGGAGCAAAAGGGCAGAUGCCAGCAGACGCUGGCAGUCUAUCGUCCAUCGACAGUGGGAAAAUAUGGAAGUCAGCCGGGGGAUGGUCGGUGGAGAGUUCGGCUGCUGGGCAGCUGACCCCAAGGGAGGACCACCUUCCCACUUCUUCCCCCUUCUUGCCUCCCCAUCCACCUCACUGAGAGGUACCUCUACUCCAUAGAACCUGCACCCAUCUUCCAAGCCCACGUGUGAUCUGAUUUUUCUGGUACACUAGAGCACGGAAAGCCCUCUGUCCUUGUGAUAAGGCAGAACAUCCAAUUGAGCUGAUUAACACAAGCUGCCUGCAGAAGGCAAAACAAAGAGCACACUGUAACCGCAUGCCGACUGGGGCUUCGGGAGCUGUAAACACAACCCUAGACGCUGCCUUGGGGCCAGAACCCAAACGUUCCCCACAACAUGCCCGACUGCAUGCUCCCCCUAGGAGUUUGAGCAGAGGGGCACUGAAGAAGCGAGUCACACCCCUGUUGCACACCCUUCCAGGGGAAAAAAAGAGCUUUUCCCAUCUCAAUAAAACUAGUACAUACAAUUCUCAUACCUAUAUCUCAUUCCACUUCCACCUUUAACAUCUCUCAUUCUAAUACUUAGUUGCUCUUUGAACUCCAUCAUGAAGUCUUAUUCAACUAAACCAUCAAGUUUAUCAUAUCCUCCACUGUUUGAUUUUCAUUUCACAACACAGGAUGACUUGGGUAUUUAUCUAAAAUGCAGAUUCAUGGUCUUUGCCCCAGUAAAUUUUUAUCCGAGAGAUUUUGAGUAGGGGUUGUGAUCUAUAUUUUUAAAAACCUCCCCGGGUGAGACAGAAACAUAUUCAAAGACAGUGCUUAGUUUCCCCCUCCACUCCGCUCAGUUAAUUUUCUUGUUUUUGGAGAUCCAGCCUUGAAUGAAUUCCCCAAGAGUGGGACCAACCCAGACGUUUAGGAUAGUCUCCCAAAUGCACAGGGUUUGUCUGCAUCAAUUACAAAGAAGCCUAGACUGCUUGACAUAUGUUUAUAUGUCCCACCAUAACAUUUUGGAUCAACAGUGUUCAAAAUAUAUUCUAUUUCAGACCUUUGAUGUCUAUCCUUUUGCCUUUCUCUUGUGAAGUCCUGCUGGUAGGACAUAAAGCCUAGGGCAUCCCAUCACCUGCCUGAGCCUAGUGGCCUGUUCCUGUCUUGGUCCCAUGUUGCUACAUCCUGCCCAGAAUUAAGAGAUUUUCCUAAGCUAAUAGACCAAAUGAGAUAUGUCUCAAUAAGACUGUAUGUGAGAACUCCAAUUUCUCCAAAAGAGAAUUUUCAAUUAGUUCAUGUUGUACCAUGUUGGAAAGUCAGUUACAUUACAAAAUUCCCUAGCUCUUCAAAGCCAAUUUGAAUGAUUCUUGUAUACUUAGUUUUGAGAUUCUUUCUAGAAUAAUUUCCCCAAAUGAUGAGUUUAUCAUUGGAUCCACCAACAAUGUUAGAUUGCUCAUUAAUUCUCUUGUGCCUUCUAAGUCAUUUUGAAGAUCUAGUGUUUUUCAGGUGUCGCCUCUUCUUUUUAUUCUUUUAAGUCAUUUCUAGGACUCAGAUGUUUUCCUCAAGAAGAUGCAUUGUUUUAGUAAAGUUCAGUUUGAAUCCUUCUUACUACAUUUUUAUUUAAUCCCCCACUAUGUUGUUUUUCUUCUUGAGAUAUUUUAUUUGCUGUCAGUAGGCAUUCUAAGCAGAGGUUUAGCUGAUAAUUAGCCAUUUCUUUAGUGACACAUCUCACUUGACAAAGAGGGUUAAAAAAGAUGAUUUCCUUGGAUUGUACUUUUUAGUUGUGAUGAUAUAUUCCAUUAUUUACUAUGUAAACUGAUACACCUUAGCUCAGCACUAGGUUUUGUAUCAUCAAACUAAAAAAACAAAUUUAAUAGUUUUUUCUCCUCUUUGAACCAAAACUUAAGAAGUUUGUGGAAAUGUGAAAAGCUAGAAUAACAAAUAUGCAAUUAAGCACAAUCCUCUGAGAAAUAGAAAAUAGCAAUAAUUGUUUAGAUUAUAAGAUUCGGGGUUCAAUGUUCCAUAAAACAAAGGUAUUAUUUAGAUUUAUUUUUGUUUCCUUACAACUAAGCUUAACACAGGCUUUUAUAGAAAUUUAAAAAUAUUUAUAUAAAAGGACAAGGGACUAUUAAGAAGGAAGAUAAAUAUUUCAUGUAGAACUACUACAUCAGCUUUCUUGAAAUAAUUAACUGGUAAGUUCAAUUUACCCUCAAAUCAAUUAAGAUUCAAUAACAGUUUCAACCUUUUCCCCUUUUGGUUGAAGUUUGACCAAAUUGAUUUUGUUAUUUUGACAGACUAUGGUCAUAAUCAAACCACUCGAAAUCCUUUGUGGCAUCAUAAAGGGACUCUUUCAGAAUAUUAAGAAAAGCAUCCAUAGCAUUAUUAUACUUUUUGUCCACACAUUAUUUGACAUGCCAUCUUUUUCACAUGAAUAUGUAAAAUGAUGUAAUCCUAAUUAGGUUCAUCAUACAAAUUUUUAAUAGUGAAAAGGCAUGACAAAAUGAGGCCUCUCUAAAGUUAUUUAUGAAUUGCAAAUUUGAGGAUUAUAUUUGAGAAACAGUUCUUUAUGAUCAUUACAGCCAAGCUACUCCAGAUUUUUCAUGGAAGUUAUUUUAACAAUAAAAAAAGACUGAUAUAAUUUAAGAUCUCAGUGAGGUGAGGCAUGGGUGGAUCAGUAACAACAGACAUUAUAUAGAUUAUAUACCAAGUUGAAAUUGAAGGUUCAUGAAGUAUAGUUUCAUCUUUUUCAUUGAUCAUCCUAGCAAAUACAUAUGCAUUUACCCCUGUUAAUUCAUGCACAUACUCUCAACCACUUCUGUUAUUAAUAUUUAAUACAUGUGUGGGCCAUCUGCCUUCCCUUCCUACCUCUAACACUACCAUACAUUGCAGGUUGCCUUUCUUACAUGCAUGCGGCUAUCCAGUCACACAUCCAAAAUCUUUUUACUCACCCUCCCCGAACAACUGGCAGCUCAAAACAUCCUCAAGAAAUGUGACUUGGGAGAGAGAAUGCACCUCUGUUUACAGGUUAGCAAGUUUAUUUAAACAGAUAUUUCUGAAGUUCAAGCUGGGUUGUGAACUCUAGAUGGAUCCUGAUGGAUAUAUCUUAGUGAUUCCAGGGACUCCUUCACCUUGGGGUGGAAUGCAAUUAGAGUGAAACAAAGUGGGACUCUAAUGCACAGGGCCUAGAUUAGGGUCCUCAAAUGCCUGAUGUAGUGGAUAUUUAUAUCUGUCUAAUAUAUUGCAGUAUGUGGAGCAACACAAGGUGGCCACUUUUAGUAAAAGAAAGAAUACUAGCCGGGCGCGGUAGCUCACACCUGUAAUCCCAGCACUUUGGGAGGCCAAGGUGGGUGGAUCACGAGGUCAGGAGAUCGGAGACCAUCCUGGCUAACACGGUGAAACCCCGUCUCUACUGAAAAUACAAAAAAUUAGACAGGUAUGGUGGCGGGUGCCUGUAAUCCCAGCUACUUGAGACGCUGAGGCAGGAGAAUGGCAUGAACCUGGGAGGCGGAGCUUGCAGUGAGCGGAGAUCGCGCCACUGCACUCCAUUCAGCCUGCGCGACAGAGCGAGACUCCGUCUCAAAACAAACAAACAAACAAACAAACAAACAAAAGAAUAUUUCCUAUAUGAAUGGCUCUGUUGAUUGAAUGGCUCUGAGAAUUGUUAUUUUUAGAGAGUUUUUUAACCGUAAUCUUGAAAAGCCUGCUAACUCUCCCCUUCUUUGGCAAUCUGGAAAACCUGCUGCUUAAAAUGAUAUUGUCCAGACUUAGCCUAUUAGACAUCAAGGAAAAGUCCCAAAAUAGAAGACGGUUCCCAGCUGAUAAAGAAUGAUCUUUGGCUGUCCUGACAGUGCAUUCAAAAGCUUCAUAUCUUUUAAUAAAGAGUUCUAUUGAAACUCUUUUUUGGAUCACACUCUUGUUUGGAGACUUAAACCAAAAAACAAAGGUGCACAAAUUUUGUUCCAUAGUCUACCAGCAAUUUUUCCAAAGUUUUAAUUUUAAUUUUUUAAGUAGUCUAGUGGCAUAAACCUGUCAUUUAGCUUUUUAAUAUUAAUGCAGGCAUAUAGAACCAAACAGAACUUACAGUCCAAUCUUGGCUCAACUUACCAGUUUUGACAUUAGGGACUGAGACUUAAUUCCUUUAUCUGAAAAUCAGAAAUAAAGUAUCUAGUUCUUAUGGUUGUUCAUAAAAUUAAAUGAAAAAAUGUAUAUUUUCUUUCUUCUAUAAAAUAAGCACUCAAUAAAUGGCAGUAUUAUCACCACCUCCAUGGUUUCUAGCACUGGUAAAGGAUUAGAGCAUUGCCAUUGGACCAUUAAUUGAUAUCAUUAUCUUCAUUGCUUGAAUAAUUUCUAUGUGUAAAAACUAUUUAGUCAAAUCAUUAUUAAUAAAAUUGCCAAGGGCAUACUUAACCUACACUAUGCCAAUCCUAAGUACUAAAAUACAUGUUCUUUUUAGAAGACUCCCUCUUUAAGAAAUGGCAUCAUGUCAGAAUUAAGCUUUUGAUAUUCAAUUUUUAAGUCUCUUUACCAGAUAAUACUAGAGUUUUUUCUCCUUCUUUCCUCUCAUAGCAUGAGGAAUUUUCCCACAUACCUUUUUUGGAUAAGUAGGGCCAUAACCAAGGCAAGGGUGAGGAUUUCUGAGAAUCAGUAUCACUUUUGGUAAAGGCAUAACGUGUCUAAAGGUUUCACUAUGUGAAGAUGAGGAGAAAGUUGUGACAUACUGUCUUAAGGGAAAGCUCAAUUAGAUGCAAGGUAGACUUUCUUAACAAGUUUUCAACUUAACAGAAGUAAUGAUCCUUUAAAUUUGUUUUUAAUACAGUAAGAUCUCUGUGGCAGCAAUGCCCGUAAUUUGAAUGUGCUAAAGGUAUUUCAGUCUUAUUUAAUUAUAAUAAAGUAAAUGGUCAAAAGAAUUAAAGUAACUGAUGGUUGUUGAUCACAGGUUUUGGUUCUCUACAUGCUUGCAGAAGAUUGGUCUCUAAAUUCAGCUUAGUCCUUGCAAGAAUUAAUAAAUCAUAUGUAAUGAAGCUAUAAUCAGACAGACCAUGCUCAUGAACACCAGUACAUUGCUUUAGAAGCUUAGAUUAACAACAAAAAUUUGCCCAAAGAUACCUUGUAGAAAAAAACAAUAAGGGAUUAAAAAGAGAGUCAAAGUUCCAAGCCUAUUUUUAAAGCACUAGGUAUUGUAGAGAUCUGUGGGCAACUAUGGAUGCUGCAAAAUGUCUAAAAUUAUUAAAAUACUGAUUCGUAAUCACAGAAAAACAGAUAUGUUUCAAAUGUUAAUCUAUGUCAAGAUACAGAAAUAAAAACCCAGACCCUCAGAAGACUUUUAAGAGCUUGGAUUAGAAUGGUUACAACUUAAUAGAAACACAAAAUGGACAGCUGAUCAACAAAAUGAUUUCAUGGCCCAGCUCUAAGAUAAUCAAGACAGACUGAAGGAGUGUGCAGCAGCAGUGUAUUAUGUGUAGAAUCAUCAGGAAGUAGAAUGUGUAUUUCUUCAAAAUGUGGAUAGAAUAAUGAGAUUUAUUUUCUACAGCAAUGUAGGGUAAGGUUAGAGAAAAUGCUUUGGAGCCAAACCAAUCUAGAUUUGAAGCAUCAUUCUUCCAUCGUUCCAAAUUGCCUUGGGCAAAUUACUUACUUGUGCAAUAAGGUUACUUUCCAGAAUUUUUGUGCAUUUAAAUGAGAUUCCAUAUAUAAAGUGCUUAGCUCACAUGUGGUGCACAGUAAGCAAUAAACAAAUAAUAUGUUUUUCUAAUAGUUAUUAUUACUAUUUUUCUUCUGGUUAUGGCAAGGGUAACAAUGGGGGUUUUAUAUAUGUACUUUGCAUAGGACCUUUAGGAAAUUAGAGCAAGUCUCCAGGAAUUUUACUUUCCAAAAGACUUUAAGACUUCCAAGGAAGGAUGUUAUUAAGAGAAAAAGGACUGACAGAUACACAGGUCAUAAACUUCUAAGAUUAAUGUUUCAAAACAUAAUGAAACAAAACUGUAAACAAA
rnacentral:lncRNA from 10 species